UCUGGGUACAGUGGCGCAUGUCUGUAACCCCAGUGGCUCAGGAGGCUGAGGCAGGAGGAUCGCUAGUUCAGAGCUAGCCUCAAAAAUGGAGAGGUGCUAAGCAACCCAGUGAGACCCUGUCUCUA
rnacentral:sRNA from 1 species